rnacentral:rRNA from 1 species
AUUGAACGCUGGCGGCGUGCUUAACACAUGCAAGUCGAGCGGUAACAGGCGUAGCAAUACGUGCUGACGAGCGGCGAACGGGUGCGUAAUACAUGGGAAUCAGCCCUUUAGUGGGGAAUAACCCGGCGAAAGCCGGGCUAAUGCCGCAUAAGAUCUUCGGAUGAAAGCGGGGGAUCGUAAGACCUCGCGCUGAUGGAUGAGCCCAUGUCGGAUUAGCUAGUUGGUGAGGUAACGGCUCACCAAGGCGACGAUCCGUAGCUGGUCUGAGAGGACGGCCAGCCACACUGGGACUGAGACACGGCCCAGACUCCUACGGGAGGCAGCAGUGGGGAAUAUUGGACAAUGGGGGAAACCCUGAUCCAGCGACGCCGCGUGUGUGAAGAAGGCCUGCGGGUUGUAAAGCACUUUCGGUGGGAACGAAAUAUGCCGGGCUAAUACCCCGGUAGGCUGACGUUACUCAAUGAAGAAGCACCGGCUAACUCUGUGCCAGCCGCCGCCGUAACAC